ACAAAUUAACAUUUAAACCUUAAACUAGCAGCGCACGUCACUUUCUGAAUGAGGUGCGCGACGUGCGCGUGCCCGUCAUUUUGUAACGGUCAACUUCCAGCGGACGGACACGGAGGAAAGGGCCUGACAACCACCAGUUGAGUCCAUGAUUCAGGGAAGAGACAGUCUGGGCAGCAGCAA